rnacentral:rRNA from 1 species
AUUGAACGCUGGCGGCAUGCCUUACACAUGCAAGUCGAACGGCAGCACGGGAGCAAUCCUGGUGGCGAGUGGCGAACGGGUGAGUAAUAUAUCGGAACGUGCCCAGUCGUGGGGGAUAACGCAGCGAAAGCUGUGCUAAUACCGCAUACGAUCUCUGGAUGAAAGCGGGGGACCUGCAAGGGCCUCGCGCGAUUGGAGCGGCUGAUAUCAGAUUAGCUAGUUGGUGGGGUAAAAGCUCACCAAGGUGACGAUCCGUAGCGGGUCUGAGAGGAUGAUCCGCCACACUGGGACUGAGACACGGCCCAGACUCCUACGGGAGGCAGCAGUGGGGAAUUUUGGACAAUGGGCGAAGCCUGAUCCAGCCAUGCCGCGUGAGUGAAGAAGGCCUCGGUUGUAAGA